rnacentral:rRNA from 1 species
UAAAAAAAGGUAAGCUACUAAGAGCGAAUGGUGGAUGCCUUGACUGGUAAAGGCGAUGAAGGACGUACUAGACUGCGAUAAGCUACGGGGAGCUGUCAAGAAGCUUUGAUCCGUAGAUUUCCGAAUGGGGCAACCCAAUGUAUAGAGAUAUACAUUACCUAUAUAGGAGCGAACGAGGGGAAUUGAAACAUCUUAGUACCCUCAGGAAAAGAAAUCAAUAGAGAUUGCGUCAGUAGCGGCGAGCGAAAGCGCAAGAGGGCAAACCCAGUGCUUGCACUGGGGGUUGUAGGACUGCAAUGUGCAAGAGGUAAGUUUAGCAGAACAUUCUGGAAAGUAUAACCAUAGAGGGUGAUAGUCCCGUAUGCGAAAAACAAACCUUAGCUAGCAGUAUCCUGAGUAGGGCGGGACACGAGGAAUCCUGUCUGAAUCCGGGUCGACCACGAUCCAACCCUAAAUACUAAUACCAGAUCGAUAGUGCACAAGUACCGUGAGGGAAAGGUGAAAAGAACUGAGGUGAUCAGAGUGAAAUAGAACCUGAAACCAUUUGCUUACAAUCAUUCAGAGCCCUAUGUAGCAAUACAGGGUGAUGGACUGCCUUUUGCAUAAUGAGCCUGCGAGUUGUGGUGUCUGGCAAGGUUAAGCAAACGCGAAGCCGUAGCGAAAGCGAGUCUGAAUAGGGCGCUUAGUCAGAUGCUGCAGACCCGAAACGAAGUGAUCUAUCCAUGAGCAAGUUGAAGCUAGUGUAAGAACUAGUGGAGGACUGAACCCAUAGGCGUUGAAAAGCCCCGGGAUGACUUGUGGAUAGGGGUGAAAGGCCAAUCAAACUUCGUGAUAGCUGGUUCUCUCCGAAAUAUAUUUAGGUAUAGCGUUGUGUCGUAAUAUAAGGGGGUAGAGCACUGAAUGGGCUAGGGCAUACACCAAUGUACCAAACCCUAUCAAACUCCGAAUACCUUAUAUGUAAUCACAGCAGUCAGGCGGCGAGUGAUAAAAUCCGUCGUCAAGAGGGAAACAACCCAGACUACCAGCUAAGGUCCCUAAAUCUUACUUAAGUGGAAAACGAUGUGAAGUUACUUAAACAACCAGGAGGUUGGCUUAGAAGCAGCCAUCCUUUAAAGAAAGCGUAAUAGCUCACUGGUCUAGUGAUUUUGCGCGGAAAAUAUAACGGGGCUAAAGUAAGUACCGAAGCUGUAGACUUGCACACAACUUAGAUUAUUUAAGUUUAGAAUAUGAGAAACUAAGUUAUAUGUUUAGUUAUAUUUUUACUGAUUUUUAUAGAGUAAAGAUAGAAAUAAAACUUAGUAAAAUCAGUAAAAAUAUUCUUAGACUAAAGUUAAGUAGUUUAAGUUGUGUGCAAGUGGUAGGAGAGCGUUCUAUUUGCGUCGAAGGUAUACCGGUAAGGAGUGCUGGAGCGAAUAGAAGUGAGCAUGCAGGCAUGAGUAGCGAUAAUUAAUGUGAGAAUCAUUAACGCCGUAAACCCAAGGUUUCCUACGCGAUGCUCGUCAUCGUAGGGUUAGUCGGGUCCUAAGUCGAGUCCGAAAGGGGUAGACGAUGGCAAAUUGGUUAAUAUUCCAAUACCAACAUUAGUGUGCGAUGGAAGGACGCUUAGGGCUAAGGGGGCUAGCGGAUGGAAGUGCUAGUCUAAGGUCGUAGGAGGUUGUACAGGCAAAUCCGUAUAACAAUACUCCGAGAACUGAAAGGCUUUUUGAAGUCUUCGGAUGGAUAGAAGAACCCCUGAUGCCGUCGAGCCAAGAAAAGUUUCUAAGUUUAGCUAAUGUUGCCCGUACCGUAAACCGACACAGGUGGGUGGGAUGAGUAUUCUAAGGCGCGUGGAAGAACUCUCUUUAAGGAACUCUGCAAAAUAGCACCGUAUCUUCGGUAUAAGGUGUGGUUAGCUUUGUAUUAGGAUUUACUCCGAAAGCAAGGAAACUUACAACAAAGAGUCCCUCCCGACUGUUUACCAAAAACACAGCACUCUGCUAACUCGUAAGAGGAUGUAUAGGGUGUGACGCCUGCCCGGUGCUCGAAGGUUAAUUGAUGGGGUUAGCAUUAGCGAAGCUCUUGAUCGAAGCCCGAGUAAACGGCGGCCGUAACUAUAACGGUCCUAAGGUAGCGAAAUUCCUUGUCGGUUAAAUACCGACCUGCAUGAAUGGCGUAACGAGAUGGGAGCUGUCUCAAAGAGGGAUCCAGUGAAAUUGUAGUGGAGGUGAAAAUUCCUCCUACCCGCGGCAAGACGGAAAGACCCCGUGGACCUUUACUACAGCUUGACACUGCUACUUGGAUAAGAAUGUGCAGGAUAGGUGGGAGGCUUUGAGUAUAUGACGCCAGUUGUAUAUGAGCCAUUGUUGAGAUACCACUCUUUCUUAUUUGGGUAGCUAACCAGCUUGAGUUAUCCUCAAGUGGGACAAUGUCUGGUGGGUAGUUUGACUGGGGCGGUCGCCUCCCAAAUAAUAACGGAGGCUUACAAAGGUUGGCUCAGAACGGUUGGAAAUCGUUCGUAGAGUAUAAAGGUAUAAGCCAGCUUAACUGCAAGACAUACAAGUCAAGCAGAGACGAAAGUCGGUCUUAGUGAUCCGGUGGUUCUGUGUGGAAGGGCCAUCGCUCAAAGGAUAAAAGGUACCCCGGGGAUAACAGGCUGAUCUCCCCCAAGAGCUCACAUCGACGGGGAGGUUUGGCACCUCGAUGUCGGCUCAUCGCAUCCUGGGGCUGGAGCAGGUCCCAAGGGUAUGGCUGUUCGCCAUUUAAAGCGGUACGCGAGCUGGGUUCAGAACGUCGUGAGACAGUUCGGUCCCUAUCUGCCGUGGGCGUAAGAAGAUUGAAGAGAUUUGACCCUAGUACGAGAGGACCGGGUUGAACAAACCACUGGUGUAGCUGUUGUUCUGCCAAGAGCAUCGCAGCGUAGCUAAGUUUGGAAAGGAUAAACGCUGAAAGCAUCUAAGCGUGAAGCCAACUCUAAGAUGAAUCUUCUCUAAGCUCUCUAGAAGACUACUAGUUUGAUAGGCUGGGUGUGUAAUGGAUGAAAGUCCUUUAGCUGACCAGUACUAAUAGAGCGUUUGGCUUAUCUUUAAUAAAGCAU